UACGGAGGGAGCAAGCGUUACUCGGAACUAUUGGGCGUAAAGGACGCGUAGGCGAUUCGAUAAGUCUCAUGUGAAAUCCCAGGGCCUAACCCUGGAAUGGCAUGGGAUACUGUUGGAUUUGAGUUCCGGAGAGGAAGGCAGAAUUCCCGGUGUAGCGGUGAAAUGCGUAGAUAUCGGGAGGAAUACCAGUGGCGAAGGCGGCCUUCUGGACGGAUACUGACGCUGAGGCGCGAAAGCCAGGGGAGCAAACGGG
rnacentral:rRNA from 1 species